UACGUAGGGUGCAAGCGUUGUCCGGAAUUAUUGGGCGUAAAGAGCUCGUAGGCGGUUUGUUGCGUCGGAUGUGAAAUCUCGAGGCUCAACCUCGGGUCUGCAGUCGAUACGAGCAAACUAGAGUGUUGCAGGGGAGACUGGAAUUCCUGGUGUAGCGGUGAAAUGCGCAGAUAUCAGGAGGAACACCGAGGGCGAAGGCAGGUCUCUGGGCCAUAACUGACGCUGAGAAGCGAAAGCAUGGGGAGCGAACAGG
rnacentral:rRNA from 1 species